UCUUCUUUUAUUAAAUUAAAAUAAAAUAAUAAAUAAAUAAAUACCCGAUCGUGAUUGACCUGCUUUGCCUCUAUCAAGGAAAAAAAACUCCUCAGUCUCACUUCAUCUUCUCCAUACUUGCCGCUUCUUCAUUCUAUGCAAUCUAAGAGACUCUGUGCAAUGUAGCACCACCAACGCCGCCUCUAUUCUAUUCAACGGGGAAUUUUAAUUCCUUCCGUUUCCCCACAAUUUUCGCUCUUUUUCCCUCUAUCGUCUUCUAUUCGUUGCUCCGCCUCCGCCGCCACCGCCUCCUCCUCCUCCUCCUCCACCGCUUAUACUACAAUUUCACUGGAGCACGUCGCCGCCACCGCCUCUACUGCUUCCAUCACAUAACCCUGUAAUUCGUACUCCUACCUUUUGAUCCCAAAACGUCCUUUCACUUUCACUCCCCUCAAAACCCCUAAGUUUCACUCCACAUCAAAAAUCAUAUCACGCCACCGCCGAUUCUCCAACCGUAUCGUCGUUCCACUACAGAUCCAAACCGAUCUCUCUCCGAUAAGUGCCUCUUCUCUCAUUGCUUCCAUUAAUUUUGAGGAUUUCAUACUUUUAUUUUAUUUUAUAGAUUUCUCACUUCAACUAAUGUAUUUCUUGUUUAAAUUGUAAAGUUUAGGGCAAUAAUUAAGUUUGAAUUACAAAAAAAUCAGUCGAAUUACAAUCAAUUCAGUCAAAUUGGUGUCGGACAAAAUUGAUGAUUUGAGUCCAAUCGAACUGUUUUUCUUUUAAUUAUUAGUAUGAUUAGAACUUAUGUUGGAGAAAGAAAGAAGGGGAAUGAAAAAUUGAUGGCAUUAUCAAAUUGUAUCUUCCUUUAUAGUUUCUCAAAUUCAAUUGUCAAAGGUUAAUCUUUCGUUUCCUUUGUUUUUAGAUUGUAUCUAAUGACUAAAAUUAGACCAUUUUGUAUAAUUGUAUGUCUCAAUUAGUAAUGGUUUGCUGCAAUUAUAUAUUCAUUGGUAAUGGUUUGUUGUAAUUAUAUAUUCAUUGGUAAUGGUUUAAUGAGUUUUACUGUAAAAAUCAAGCAAUUGUGAAUAAAACUAUAGUAUUGACUUGUGUCUAUCACUUUCCAUGUGUGUGUGUUUGUAAUCACAGUUUGUCACCUCCAGAAGAUGUCCAGGUGAGCUUUGCUGGAGAACUGUUGAAGUACUUUUUAAUUGUUGUGAUGGGCACAUAAUACCUUAAGUACUACAAUGGAGUACCCAUUUACUUAUUCUCAAGCGAAGAUGGACAAGUUAAGGGACUUAUGGGUUACCUACGUGUUCGAGCGUAAAGAACUAGAUGAAGAGUUUGAAGAUGGUAUAGAUUAUGAAGAUGAUGAUAUGACGUAGGUGAUUUAUGACUUCAUUUUAUUUAAGAAUUUUCUAUUUCUUUGCGGAGAAGAUUAUAGGACGAAACAUUAAGUACGUUAAGACGUAAUAUUUUUGUAAUAUUUUUUCGAUUAAUGAAAUAUUUGGAUUAUUUUGA